rnacentral:lncRNA from 1 species
AGCCACCCACACUUGCUAAGAGAAAGGAAAGGAGCUUUGUCACCUCCUGAGGGACUGCCUCUGCCAUCAGAAAACCACCCCAAUCCCUGGCACCAGCAGAGCUGGGUUGCAUCUGACUACCGUUAGCAGCUGUCCUUCAGAAGGAGGAGAUCCACCUGUCUCGAUAUCAGUGUCCUCAUUUGUGGAAUAAAAGCUCUGGAAUAAGAUCCACCCUGAUUUCAGCGGGCGUUCCUGGGUCUUGUAUGCACUAGGUGCCCUCAAUGCUUGGCAACUGGAAUGGGUUAGCCUGGAGGCAUUUAGGCUGUCCUUCUACAACCACAGAAGAGCCAUCACUGGCA